GAUGUAGAACGUAGCGAAAUGCGAUAAUUAAUGUGAAUUGCAGAAUUUAGUGAAUCAUCGAAUCUUUGAACGCACAUUGCGCCCCUUGGUAUUCCGGGGGGCAUGCGUGUUCGAGCGUCAUUUCAACCCUCAAGCUCUGCUUGGUCUUGGGCCGCGCCGGCAACGGCGGGCCUCAAAAACAGUGGCGGCGCCAUCUGGUCCCUCAGCGUAGUAAUUCUUCUCGCUGCUGGGCCCCGGUGGCCGCUUGCCAGCAACCCCAAACUUUCUAUGGUUGACCUCGGAUCAGGUAGGGAUACCCGCUGAACUUAAGCAUAUCAAUAAGCGGAGGA
rnacentral:misc_RNA from 1 species